rnacentral:rRNA from 1 species
UACGUAGGGUGCAAGCGUUGUCCGGAAUUAUUGGGCGUAAAGAGCUCGUAGGCGGUCUGUCGCGUCUGCUGUGAAAACUCAGGGCUUAACCCUGAGCUUGCAGUGGGUACGGGCAGACUAGAGUGCGGUAGGGGGAGACUGGAAUUCCUGGUGUAGCGGUGAAAUGCGCAGAUAUCGGGAGGAACACCAGCAGCGAAGGCGGCUCGCUGGGCCACACCUGACGCUGAGACGGCGAAAAGCUAGGGGGAGCGAACAGG